rnacentral:rRNA from 1 species
AUGGCGUCAGACGAGGCUUCGGGAUCGACCAGGGCCGGAGCAGCUGAGAUCGACGAUGUGCAACUGCUGAUAAAAGAACUAGGUCUGCGUGAGGAGGACCUAGAUGAUGUGGUUUUUGAUGAAAAGGAGGCACCGGAGGGGGCGGCACGGUGGAUGGCGCUUGCAAAAGUGAACUCCAUCAAAACCUACUCUCAAUACUGUUUUUUUUGGAACAUGAGAUUAGCCUGGGAUCUUGCUCAGGAGGUGACUUUCAAGCCACUUGAGGAUAAUCUAUAUACGGUGCAAUUCUCCUGCUUAGGAGAUUGGGAGAGGGUUACCCAAGAAGGACCUUGGCACUUUAGGGGAGACGCUGUCAUUCUGAGGCCAUACGAUGGUUUGGCAAAACCCUCGACUGUUCAGCUGGAUACCAUUGAGAUUUGGGCUCAAAUUCAUGAUGUACCACCCCUAUACGCUCAUCUAGUACCAUCUCUUGCUGCAAAGGUGGGAGAGGUCCUUUUCACUGAACCGCAAUCUCAGGAUUUUGCUGGAAAUUUUCAUUGGGUUUGGGUCCGAAUUAACGUCACGAAGCCCCUGAAGAAUGCAGUAUCGUUGAUCCGAGAUGGCAAGCACCAAAUUUACAAGGUUAGAUAUGAGAAGCUCCCGGAUUGGUGCGCCGUGUGUGGUAUGCUGGGGCACCUCUUCAAAGAGCAUGGCAAUGGAAUCCACCUUCCGUCAGCCCUGGUUUACAAAAACCUAAGGGCUUCAUGGACUAUGCGUACCGGAAAGGGGCCGGGAGGAGGACGAGGCAGAAGAGGAGGUCGUGGGGGUGGUUGA